rnacentral:lncRNA from 1 species
GAACCUUAAUCCUUCUAACCCCGUUUUCAGGAUUUUACAAUCCUAGUGAAGUAGGUUUAAAUGUUUAUGUUAUAAUUGAUUUGCAAUAGAAGUUAACUUUUAGGUGAUGAAGCAAUUAAAAUAUUGUUGAAUAUGGCAUACAUGUUCUAAUUAGCAUUAAUGACUUGGUUGGUGAAUAAUUCAUAGUAUGAAAUGUAAAUAUUAAUUGUUGUUUAAGUGUUUAAUGUCUUGAUAAGAAGUUGU